UUAUGCAAGAUUCAGUCUGUCAGUACUCGACUUUUCAAACCUCCCCAAGUGCUGUGUCCGAAAAACAAAAAGAAGAAACACCUUUCUAUAGCAGGCGUUGAAAAAAACCUCCCAACUCUUUCUUCUUCGCUCGCUCCAAUUCCAACAGACUCGGAGGAGGAGGGUGUUUUCAGUUAGAAAGUUCCCAGUUUGUACAGAAUAGUCCAUUGCUCUUUUCUGGGUUCUGAUUGAGUCAGUAGAAGUUUGGGAAAGGAUAGCAUUUAAAGGGGUUAGAGUAAGUAUGGCUUUGCUACACUUGUAAUUGAGCUGUGCAGUGGUGGAGGAUUUUGCUUUGGCCAAAUUGGUUGGUAUUCAAAAGAUUUUUGUAGGUAGCAGAAAUGACUUCUGUUGAAUUUUGAGGAUUUACAAUCCAUAUUCCUAAUUGAGUGACACAUAAAGAUGAUUGGGAGAAAAAGCAUGGGGCGUGCAUCACCAAUACUUUUGGUGCUUUUGGCACUUGGGUUUUUCUUUGCUUCUUAUAAUUUGUUACCCUUGGUAAUACACAACAAGACUUCGUACUCAGGGCUUUUGGGGGCGGAUCAGUUGAUAGAGCCCGUGAUUCAGA